CACCAGCGUCGCGAGUGGUGACCGGAUUAUUGGGCCUAAAGCGUUCGUAGCAGGUUUUGUAAAUCUUUUGUGAAAUUGUUGGGCUUAACCUAACAACGUGCAAGAGACACUGCAAGACUAGGAACCGGGAGAGGUAAGGAGUAUGCUGGGGGAGCGUAAAUAGUGAUAAUCCUCGGUGGACUACCAGUGGCGAAGGCGCCUUACC
rnacentral:rRNA from 1 species